rnacentral:rRNA from 1 species
UACGAAGGGGGGCUAGCGUUGCUCGGAAUCACUGGGCGUAAAGCGCACGUAGGCGGCUUACUAAGUCAGGGGUGAAAGCCUGGAGCUCAACUCCAGAACUGCCUUUGAUACUGGUGAGCUUGAGUUCGGGAGAGGUGAGUGGAACUGCGAGUGUAGAGGUGAAAUUCGUAGAUAUUCGCAAGAACACCAGUGGCGAAGGCGGCUCACUGGCCCGAUACUGACGCUGAGGUGCGAAAGCGUGGGGAGCAAACAGG